rnacentral:rRNA from 1 species
CUACACAUGCAGUCGAGCGGCAGCGGGAAAGUAGCUUGCUACUUUUGCCGGCGAGCGGCGGACGGGUGAGUAAUGCCUGGGAAAUUGCCCAGUCGAGGGGGAUAACAGUUGGAAACGACUGCUAAUACCGCAUACGCCCUACGGGGGAAAGCAGGGGACCUUCGGGCCUUGCGCGAUUGGAUAUGCCCAGGUGGGAUUAGCUAGUUGGUGAGGUAAUGGCUCACCAAGGCGACGAUCCCUAGCUGGUCUGAGAGGAUGAUCAGCCACACUGGAACUGAGACACGGUCCAGACUCCUACGGGAGGCAGCAGUGGGGAAUAUUGCACAAUGGGGGAAACCCUGAUGCAGCCAUGCCGCGUGUGUGAAGAAGGCCUUCGGUUGUAAAGCACUUUCAGCGAGGAGGAAGGUUGAUGCCUAAUACGUAUCAACUGUGACGUUACUCGCAGAGGAGGCACCGGCUAACUCCGUGCCAGCGGCCGCGGUAAUACGGAGGGUGCAAGCGUUAUUCGGAAUACUGGGCGUAAGCGCACGCGGCGGUUGAAUAAAGUUAGAUGUGAAAACCCCC